rnacentral:rRNA from 1 species
GUAUCCUGGCUCAGGAUGAACGCUAGCUACAGGCUUAACACAUGCAAGUCGAGGGGCGAGCAUGUUGGUUGCUUGCAACCAAUGAUGGCGACCGGCGCACGGGUGAGUAACGCGUAUCCAACCUUCCGCAUACGUCGGGAAUAGCCUUUCGAAAGAAAGAUUAAUGCCCGAUGGUUUCCCGAAUCCGCAUGAGACGGGAAUAAAGAUUCAUCGGUAUGCGAUGGGGAUGCGUCCCAUUAG